rnacentral:lncRNA from 1 species
UUAAUCGGAACUUCAGAGUUUUCAGCUUCAGUCGAAUAUGGAGUUGGAUCAAGAGUGUUCAACCUAACUGUUAGGGCUCUAUUAUCCUCACAAGCAGCGGCUACCUCAGUCUAGACAGUCGCUAAUUGAUUUUGUAAUUGUGCCAACAAUCGGGUGAGACCUUCAAUUUGGGAAGGCUCCAUGGCAAGGGUACUAGCACUAGAAGCAGUAACACGACCACUAUGCAAUUGCAUACACGGUAACACUAGCUAAGUGAAUUGCGCUAUGGAGAUC